CCGCCAUAUCAGCUGGACAUGACCAGGUGGACGGGCUCCCACUUGGACAGAACCCUCUAAUCUGUCGCCUGCUCAAGGGAGUCCGCUUCUCACGUCCCCCUACAUCCAGAUAUGGAUCCUUCUGGGACGUCAAAUGUGUGUUCAGACUCCUAGAUGACUGGCCCUCAAACAUAAAGCUGUCCUUUAAACAACUAUCGGCAAAGCUACUUAUGCUGUUCUGCC